GACGAACGCUGGCGGCGUGCUUAACACAUGCAAGUCGAACGGAAAGGCCCUGCUUGCAGGGUACUCGAGUGGCGAACGGGUGAGUAACACGUGGGUGAUCUGCCCUGCACUUCGGGAUAAGCUUGGGAAACUGGGUCUAAUACCGGAUAGGACCGCACUUUAGUGUGUGUGGUGGAAAGUUUUUUCGGUGUAGGAUGAGCUCGCGGCCUAUCAGCUUGUUGGUGGGGUAAUGGCCUACCAAGGCGGCGACGGGUAGCCGGCCUGAGAGGGUGUACGGCCACAUUGGGACUGAGAUACGGCCCAGACUCCUACGGGAGGCAGCAGUGGGGAAUAUUGCACAAUGGGCGCAAGCCUGAUGCAGCGACGCCGCGUGGGGGAUGAAGGCCUUCGGGUUGUAAACUCCUUUCGCUAGGGACGAAGCGUUGUUGUGACGGUACCUAGAUAAGAAGCACCGGCUAACUACGUG
rnacentral:rRNA from 1 species